rnacentral:rRNA from 1 species
GACCUGGUGGCGAGUGGCGAACGGGUGAGUAAUACAUCGGAAGAUGUCCUGUAGUGGGGGAUAGCCCGGCGAAAGCCGGAUUAAUACCGCAUACGAUCUAUGGAUGAAAGCGGGGGACCUUCGGGCCUCGCGCUAUAGGGUUGGCCGAUGGCUGAUUAGCUAGUUGGUGGGGUAAAGGCCUACCAAGGCGACGAUCAGUAGCUGGUCUGAGAGGACGACCAGCCACACUGGGACUGAGACACGGCCCAGACUCCUACGGGAGGCAGCAGUGGGGAAUUUUGGACAAUGGGCGAAAGCCUGAUCCAGCAAUGCCGCGUGUGUGAAGAAGGCCUUCGGGUUGUAAAGCACUUUUGUCCGGAAAGAAAUCCUUGGCUCUAAUACAGUCGGGGGAUGACGGUACCGGAAGAAUAAGCACCGGCUAACUACGUGCCAGCAGCCGCGGUAAUACGUAGGGUGCAAGCGUUAAUCGGAAUUACUGGGCGUAAAGCGUGCGCAGGCGGUUUGCUAAGACCGAUGUGAAAUCCCCGGGCUCAACCUGGGAACUGCAUUGGUGACUGGCAGGCUAGAGUAUGGCAGAGGGGGGUAGAAUUCCACGUGUAGCAGUGAAAUGCGUAGAGAUGUGGAGGAAUACCGAUGGCGAAGGCAGCCCCCUGGGCCAAUACUGACGCUCAUGCACGAAAGCGUGGGGAGCAAACAGGAUUAGAUACCCUGGUAGUCCACGCCCUAAACGAUGUCAACUAGUUGUUGGGGAUUCAUUUCCUUAGUAACGUAGCUAACGCGUGAAGUUGACCGCCUGGGGAGUACGGUCGCAAGAUUAAGACUCAAAGGAAUUGACGGGGACCCGCACAAGCGGUGGAUGAUGGUGGAUUAAUUCGAUGCAACGCGAAAAACCUUACCUACCCUUGACAUGGUCGGAAUCCUGAAGAGAUUCGGGAGUGCUCGAAAGAGAACCGGCGCACAGGUGCUGCAUGGCUGUCGUCAGCUCCUGUCGUGAAAAAUUUGGGGUUAAGUCCCCCCACCAAGCGCAACCCCUUGUCCUUAAUUUGCUACCCAAGAACACUCUUAAGGAGACUGCCGGUGACAAACCCGAAGAAAAGGGGGGGGAAGAAGGGCAAAUCCCUCAUGGCCCCUUUUGGGGUGGGGGGUUCCCCCGUCUUCCAAUUGUGCCGGGCCCCGG